AAAUUGGUAAACUGGCUGGACCUGCACUUUAAGGAAGACAAGCUUAAGCCAAAUCUUGGCCAAGAGAAAGAUCCGAUGGCAGGAAUUAUGGAUUUGAUGAAGAACAUGUAUGAAGAAGGCGAUGAUGAGAUGAAGCGGACGAUUGCCAAAGCCUAGUCUGAUGCAAGAUCUGGAAAAAUGACUGAUCCACUAAAAAAUUACCCAUGAAAAUAGGAGCACGAGGAUGGUUUUAUCUUUAACCAUUCCAGCACAUCUUUGUUUAUUCAGCUGACAACAUGAACUUUGACUGUUGAACUCGUUUUAGCUUUUUCAUUAUGCUAUAAAUCGUUUAUUUGUUGAACU